rnacentral:rRNA from 1 species
GCGUUUAGGGGGAGAAAUCCCUCGGCGUUCUGUCAAACUCCGAACCUAUCAGCGCCGUAGAUCCUCGGAGUGAGGUAGCGGGGUAAGCUCGCUUACCGAGAGGGAACCAACCCAGACCAAAGUUAAGGUCCCUAAGUGUUGGCUAAGUGGCAAAGGUGUCCUUGUCCUAAAACAGCGGGGAGAUAGGCUUAGAAGUAGCCAUUCUUUAAAGAGUGUGUAACAGCUCACCCGUCUAGGUCAAGGGCCCUGAAAAUGGACGGGAAUCAAGUCAACCACCGAUACUUUGGAGCUCGAAAGAGUCUAGUAGGGAGGUGCUCUGAUAGGGUAGAAGUUGGGCCGUAAGGUCCAGUGGACCUGUUAGAGAUAUAGAUCCUGCCAGUAGUAGCAGCAAAGCAGGGUGAGAAUCCCUGUCACCGAAAGGGCUAGGGUUCCUCAGCAAUGUUCGUCAGCUGAGGGUUAGUCGAUCCUAAGAGCUGUCCUAAUUAGAGCAGCCCGAAAGGGAAGCAGGUUAAUAUUCCUGCACCACAAAGAUACAUGCGGUAACGCAAGUCCAAUUUCAGACAGUUCGGGGUAAGUCAAGUAACAUCGUCGUGUUAUCUAAUUGUAUAAGCCAGCGGAGUCGUGUAAUACGGAGAAACUGGUGAAAGCAAGCAUGGCCUGACAUUUUUGUCGGGUUUGACCGAUCUCUGGACUCUGUGAAAAUGAAAUUGGAAUGAAUUCUUUGUGUUCGUACCCAGAACUGACACAGGUGCCCCUAGGUGAGAAGCCUAAGGUGUGUUGGGGUACCCCAGUUGAGGGAAUUCGGCAAAUUGGCUCCGUAACUUUGGGAUAAGGAGUGCGCACUGUCCUGCAAGGGACAGUGCGUCGCAGUGACCAAGAGACUCCGUCUGUUUAAUAAAAACAUAGCAAACUGCUAGACCGUAAGGUUUUGUACAGUUUGUGAGGCCUGCCCAGUGUCGGUAUGUUAAACCUCUGUUCAAGGGGGCUAAGCACCGAUAAACGGCGGGAGUAACUAUAACUCUCUUAAGGUAGCGUAAUACCUUGCCGCUUAAUUGGCGGCUUGCAUGAAUGGCAGAACGAGAGUCUUGCUGUCCCCAACUGGGCCCCAGUGAACCUACUCCUCUGGCGCACAAGCCAGAGUCCCCCGCCGGGAGGCGAAGACCCCGUGGAAUUUUACUGCAGUUUCUUGCUGCGUCAUGGUUCUUGUUGUACAGUGUAGGUGGGAGCCAUCGAAACCUUGCCGCCAGGUAAGGUGGAGGCGCCGUUGGGACACCACCCUUUAAGAACUAUGUCGCUCAUCGCAUUGCGAGACACCAAGAGAUGGGCAGUUUGGCUGGGGCGGCACGCCCUUGAGAAAGUAUCAAGGGCGCCCUAAAGUCGGCUCAAACGGGUCAGAAAUCCGUUGAAGAGUGCAAGGGCAAAAGCCGGCCUGACUGGAUUCUGCUCAGUAGAGAAUCCAGAGGCGAAAGCCGGGCCUAGCGAACAUCAAUACCCUCAGUGAUGGGGGUUUGAUCUCACAGAAAAAUUACCCCGGGGAUAACAGGGUUGUCGCGAGCAAGAGCACGCAUCGACCUCGCGGCUUGCUACCUCGCUGUCGGUUUUUUCCAUCCUGGGUCUGCAUCAGGACCCAAGGGUGGGGUUGUUCGCCCAUUAAAGGAGAACAUGAGCUGGGUUUAGAACGUCGUGAGACAGUUUGGAUGCUAUCUGACGGGGGUGCUGGGUGUCUGAAGGGAAGGUAGUCUCAGUACGAGAGGAACAGGCCGCCGUGGCCUCUGGUGUACCGGUUGUCCGACAGGGCAGCGCCGGGUAGCUACGCCAUAACCGAUAAGGGCUGAAAGCAUCUAAGCCCGAAGCGGUCCCUGAAAAGAGACACCCGCUCUCUGGUAUAUAAUGGGGCUGGUGACAGCAACAUUACCAGAGACGAGGACACUUCUAUAAGAGAAGGUUGAUAGGCUGGGGAUGCAAGCACCAAGGGCAACCGAGGUGUUAAGUCCACCAGUACUAAUAGUCCAAGGCAUGAAAC